rnacentral:rRNA from 1 species
UACGUAGGGUGCGAGCGUUGUCCGGAAUUAUUGGGCGUAAAGAGCUCGUAGGCGGUGUGUCACGUCGGCCGUGAAAACCUGCAGCUUAACUGUGGGCGUGCGGUCGAUACGGGCAUCACUGGAGUUCGGCAGGGGAGACUGGAAUUCCUGGUGUAGCGGUGAAAUGCGCAGAUAUCAGGAGGAACACCGGUGGCGAAGGCAGCUGCCUGGCCUAACACUGACGCUGAGGUGCGAAAGCGUGGGGAGCGAACGGG